UACGUAGGGUGCAAGCGUUGUCCGGAAUUAUUGGGCGUAAAGAGCUUGUAGGCGGUUUGUCGCGUCUGCUGUGAAAUUUCGGGGCUCAACCCCGAACUUGCAGUGGGUACGGGCAGACUAGAGUGUGGUAGGGGAGACUGGAAUUCCUGGUGUAGCGGUGAAAUGCGCAGAUAUCAGGAGGAACACCGAUGGCGAAGGCAGGUCUCUGGGCCACUACUGACGCUGAGACGCGAAAGCGUGGGGAGCGAACAGG
rnacentral:rRNA from 1 species